GUUGACCUCGGAUCAGGUAGGACUACCCGCUGAACUUAAGCAUAUCAAUAAGCGGAGGAAAAGAAACCAACAGGGAUUGCCCUAGUAACGGCGAGUGAAGCGGCAGCAGCUCAAAUUUGAAAUCUGGCUCCCCCCGCGGGGUGCCCGAGUUGUAAUUUGCAGAGGAUGCCUCUGGCGCGGCGCCUUCCGAGUUCCCUGGAACGGGACGCCAUAGAGGGUGAGAGCCCCGUAUGGUCGGCAGCCAAGCCUCUGUGAGGCUCCUUCGACGAGUCGAGUAGUUUGGGAAUGCUGCUCAAAAUGGGAGGUAUAUGUCUUCUAAAGCUAAAUACCGGCCAGAGACCGAUAGCGCACAAGUAGAGUGAUCGAAAGAUGAAAAGCACUUUGAAAAGAGGGUUAAACAGUACGUGAAAUUGUUGAAAGGGAAGCGCUCGCGACCAGACUCGGGCCCGGCGGAUCAUCCGGCGUUCUUCGCCGGUGCACUCCGCCGGCGCCCGGGCCAGCAUCGGCUCGGCCGCGGGGGAUAAAGGCGGCGGGAACGUGGCCCCUCCGGGGGUGUUAUAGCCCGCCGCGCAAUGCCCCGCGCCGGGCCGAGGACCGCGCCCCAGGGCAAGGAUGCUGGCGUAAUGGUCGCUAGCGACCCGUCUUGAAACACGGACCAAGGAGUCGUCUUCGUAUGCGAGUGUUCGGGUGUCAAACCCCUACGCGCAAUGAAAGUGAACGCGGGUGAGAGCCCUCGCGGGCGCAUCACCGACCGAUCCUGAUGUUCUCGGAUGGAUUUGAGUAAGAGCAUACGGGGCCGGACCCGAAAGAAGGUGAACUAUGCCUGUGUAGGGUGAAGCCAGAGGAAACUCUGGUGGAGGCUCGCAGCGGUUCUGACGUGCAAAUCGAUCGUCAAACAUGGGCAUGGGGGCGAAAGACUAAUCGAACCUUCUAGUAGCUGGUUCCCGC
rnacentral:rRNA from 1 species